rnacentral:tRNA from 2 species
GACCGUUGGCUGAAUGGCUUAGGCGGAGGCCUGCAAAACCUCCUUAAGUGAGUUCGAAUCUCAUGCGGUCGUCCA